CCACUUCACAUGCUCCAGCAGUUCAUACAUGAGGUGAAUGUUGGAUGGGCCACCUCAUAGUCCUGGUUCUGGGCUUGGGUGGUAGCUGGGUUGGUCAGCCUCCCAGCUUUCCCUCAUGGACACCAACAAGGCUGUCUCACCUGCACCACCACCCCACCAACAAGAUCAGAUCUACUUUGUCGUCCUUAUGAGAGAUAGAUGUGCCCAUGGAGACAAGAGGAGGACUGAAUAAAAGGACCUGUGCAAGAUCAACAAUUGCUUUUGCCAAGUGAGUCAUCUCCCCUGUCCCAAACACUGAGUUUGGA